UACGAGGGGGGCAAGCGUUGUUCGGAAUUAUUGGGCGUAAAGGGUGCGUAGGCGGUUUGGUAAGUCUUAUGUGAAAUCUACAGGCUCAACUUGUAGUCUGCAUGAGAAACUGCCGGGCUUGAGUAUGGGAGAGGUGAGUGGAAUUCCUGGUGUAGCGGUGAAAUGCGUAGAUAUCAGGAGGAACACCUGUGGCGAAAGCGGCUCACUGGACCAUAACUGACGCUGAUGCACGAAAGCUAGGGGGAGCAAACAGG
rnacentral:rRNA from 1 species